UAUAAAUUCUACUUAUCGGAGUCCAAUAGCCAAGUGACACGUAAGGGUUGCAAUUUCACAACCAAGAGCUGCAUUGCUGGGGAUCGAAUUAAUUUUUCUCCUUUCAGAACUCUCUCUCUCUCUCUCUCUCUCUCUCUCUCUCCACCCCCACCCCAACAUUUCUCCUUCCAUGACUCUCCUUGCCUGUACGAAAAUCAUCCCUAAUCUAGGAAAGCUUAUCUGCCCCUGCUCUCUCUCUCUCUCUCUCUCUCUCUCUCUCUCUCUCUCUCUCUCUCUCUCAUGAUCUCAGUCGAGUCAAACGCAAAAAAUUUUCACGCAGAAACGAACCCAAAAUCUGUCAAGACCUCCAACUUCAUUGCCGAGGACCUCAAUGCUGGUUCACGCCGAGGUCGAUGGAAAAAUACGAGUCAAAUGAUACUGAGCUGUCAUUUUGCAUGUUGAUGGUCCUGAUCUGCCAGCUGAACUACCUAGGAAUGGAAAAUCAGUGCAAGCACAACAUAAAAAAGUGAUCUUUCCAAAUUUUGGGACAGCUUUGGGCAUUUGCUGGUAUUUUGUCCAUCAUUUUAGAUAUAGGUAUCGGAAUCACACUUAUAACCUUAAUUCAAAAAGUUCUUUUCGGCGCACUGUCAUGGUCACUCAGCUAUGCUCAAUGUGCAUUGUUUUCGAGGCCAAAAUUCUCUAUUUUUUUUACUUUGAAUCUCUAAGUUUAAAUAUUUUUGCAUUUUGUGGUAAUAUUUCAAUUCUCAUCUAGAAAGUGAUUUUGAACUCGAUUUGGACAAGAUUUUUGAUAGAUUAUUUCUUUAAUUACAUAUUUAUUUUUGGUGUGAUUAUUGAAAUUUUAUCAUUUUUUGUAAAAUUAUGAUAUUUUCAAUUUACAACUAUUACAGCCUGGUUUGUAGGUUGUUGAGUUGGACAUUCUUAAAUUUUGACAAUUUGAAUUGAACACUAGAGUUGUUUUCUCUAUAUUUUUUA